rnacentral:rRNA from 1 species
UAACGCGUGAGGAACCUGCCUCAAAGAGGGGGACAACAGGUUGGAAACGACUGCUAAUACCGCAUAAGCCCACAGCUCGGCAUCGAGGCAGAGGAAAAGGAGUGAUCCGCUUUGAGAUGGCCUCGCGUCCGAUUAGCUAGUUGGUGAGGUAAUGGCCCACCAAGGCGACGAUCGGUAGCCGGACUGAGAGGUUGAACGGCCACAUUGGGACUGAGACACGGCCCAG